rnacentral:lncRNA from 1 species
GUAGUGAAGAGAGAAUACGGGACAACUGCAGGACCACAGCUCAGCCAAGACACAACCACAUGACUGAAGACAGAGAUCAUCUGGGCUCCCUUGCAGCUGAGUUGGCCAUAUGACUGACAGCAAGCCCUGGAAUGCAGCCAGAAGUGAUAGAAGCCUCUUUCACACCAUGCUCCUAAAAUAUUCCAAGAAAUUUUCCAAACCUACUCUUUUUAGUCUGUGCAUCUGGAAGUGAAAGUUUUAGAAAGGGUAAAGUCACUUAAUGGAAAGGGCCCAGAUCUAGCCCCUCGGAGCCAAGCUGUCCAACUAGAAAUUCUGCAUUAGUAUUUGCGACCCCAGUAAAAAAAAAAAAGUCCCACAAAGAUGUAGGAUCUCACUUUGCCUGCGUUAAUUCCCUGUCCUUUGCCCAGUUUCUCCUCUCUUGGAAGGCAGAGGCAGCUUCUGAUUUUGAUCACUUCAUGUCCAGCAGAUCUUUGGAGAGAAAAUGCCAAGAGUGGAUGGAGAGGCAAUGGUGAAGCUGAGGCUGAAGUCGGAGGAAGCUGUGAACCCUGCAUGGGGUACCUGAACACCAGGGCAAGUUUCUGGCCCAGAAUGGCUUCUGGGAAAGGGGCCCUCAACAGAUUGGAAGAUGCCCAGGCAGUUGGGGAUGGCAAUCUGCUUUCUCAAUCUACUGAUUCAAAUGCUAAUCUCAUCCAGAAACAUCCUCACAGACAUACCCAGAAAUGAUCUUUAAUCUGGGCCAGUGAAAUUGACAUAUGAAAUUUAACCAUUACAAUAUCUCACCAGUGUCCUCAUUAAUUGAUGAGUUAAAUAAAAUCUUUGACAUGUGUGCAUUUUA